rnacentral:rRNA from 1 species
UACAGAGGUCCCAAGCGUUGUUCGGAUUCACUGGGCGUAAAGGGUGCGUAGGUGGUUGGGUAAGUUUGAUGUGAAAGCUCCGAGCUUAACUCGGAAAUUGCAUUGAAUACUAUCUGGCUAGAGGGUUGGAGGGGGACUGGAAUUCUCGGUGUAGCAGUGAAAUGCGUAGAUAUCGAGAGGAACACCAGUGGCGAAGGCGAGUCCCUGGACAACUCCUGACACUGAGGCACGAAAGCUAGGGGAGCAAACAGG